rnacentral:rRNA from 1 species
UUUCGCAAUGCCCGAAAGGGUGACGAAGCGACGCCGCGUGUGGGAAGAAGGCCUUCGGGUUGUAAACCACUGUCGGGAGUUAGGAAAUGCAGGUGCGUUAAUAGCGCACUUGCUUGACUAAGGCUCCAGAGGAAGCCACGGCUAACUCUGUGCCAGCAGCCGCGGUAAUACAGAGGCGGCAAGCGUUGUUCGGAAUUAUUGGGCGUAAAGAGCACGUAGGCGGCCUUGCAAGUCAGUUAUGAAAGCCUUCCGCUUAACGGAAGAACGGCAUCUGAUACUACAGGGCUUGAGUACGGGAGGGGAGAGUGGAACUUCUGGUGGAGCGGUGAAAUGCGUAGAUAUCAGAAGGAACGCCGGCGGCGAAAGCGACUCUCUGGUCCGAAACUGACGCUGAGUGUGCGAAAGCUAGGGGAGCAAACGGGGUUAGAUACCCCGGUAGUCCUAGCCGUAAACGAUGGGCACUAAGUAGAGGGGUUUU